CAGAGGAGAAAAGCAACCGUAGCUUUUACGACCCAGAAAAAAGCAAGUGAGAGAGAGUAAAGAGUAAAGAUUUGAAGCUUAGGAAAUUGCGUGGUUAGCAACAUGAACCCCAUUCUUCCCACCCCCCAACCCCACCCCUACCCCUCCAAAAGAACACCUCCAAUUCUGCCUUUAUAUGUGUUGUAAGGAGAUGGUAAAGUAGACUUGGAUGCAAAACCAACCCCAGAAAAACUUCUUUGCUUUUUGUCUUUCGAAGAAAAGAAAAAGGGCAACCCUACAAAUUAAGAACAACAAGAACACUUCUUUCUUGAUUUCUUCACAGCCCUUCUUUUUCUGUUUGAUUAUUUUGCUGUUUUGUGCUUAUAAACAGCUUGUUUUCAUCAUUCCUAUCGUUGUCUAUCCUUCUACUUGAAUGAAUUAAUUUAUGAAAACAGAAAGAGAGUAUAUAGAAGAAACAUCCAUAGCUUUUGGUCUUAUGGUCGUGUAAAUAUGUUUUGCCGGUGGGGCUAAAAGAUCCAGCUGAUUAGGACCCCAGUUUGAUCAACCCAAAUCUCUCUUUUCUCUCCUAAAAUAUAAACCAUCUUAGCUUGCCUCGAUCUUCUUUGUAUCUCAAUCUCUAUUUCCUUUUUCUUACUUCUUAGCUAAAAUUCUUUGGAUAUCUUGUUGAUUCUUGUUGACAAUGAUCACGGGCAGAUAAUUUUUCAGUUCAGCCAUGCUUUCUUUCUUUUACUUAGAUAAUUAUUCGGGCUGUUUUACAAGUUACUACCAGUUAUAUAAGAAGUUUAAACGUAAGUUCUAUGUUAUAUGUAGGUUACAUACAUGUGAUCUGCAUAUGCCUGGCUCCCUGUAUGCCAUUUGCAGAGCUCAUCGGAAUACCGUUGGGUCCCCGUGAAUGGCGUAUGAGGAGCCAAGCAUAUCCCCGAUAUAUAUAUAUAUAUAUGGUAAUCUAACUACCUAAUUCUAACAUCUGUUUUGUUUCUUCUUUCUCUUUUUGUUGAGAAAGAGCUGGCUUUUUGUGGGUAAGAUAUUGAAGGUGAAGCAUUGGAAAGGGUACUUAACUUUAUCUACACACUUCAAUUCCAACAGGUCAACAUUUUGACCAAAUAAAGCAAGAGGCCUUCUUGGAAGAAAUGAAAGGAAACAAGAAUUUGGGACCACCUUUUUCCUGUGAGAUAUCUCCUGAAACCAAUUGGCUUUGCUUGAUUCAAAUCAAUUUCAAUUUCCAAACACCCCUUUAACCUUCUCUCCUUUUACCCCUCCCCCCCCCCCCCCCCCCCAAACAAUCUCACCAACCAAACCCUAAAGCUUGCCUUUUCUCCCUAACCAAACUCUUAUAUGUCUAGAGAACAUUCUCCUCGAUGACCUGAAAAGUAAGGAGAAAUAAACAAAGAAAAAUAGGUAAAAAGGAAUGAGAAGAGAAUAUCCCUUUUUCCAUUUUUAAAAAGAAAUGUUUCUUUGCAAAAUCUACUUUAAAUUAGAUUCUAUUCGACGACUUUAAUAAAGUAAACGUAUCUUCCUCUUAUUAACUUUUACCUCAAUUUCUGAUGUACAUAUAUUUUACAGUAAUGGAGCAGAAACUUUCAUUUGAUUGCCAUCGCAUGGCUGUUUGUACAUAAACAUCCUUUCUGACUCAAUAUUCUCACUAUUUUUGCGCCAGACAAAAUAUGUUUCCUAAUUCUUGGCUUUCA